AGAGUUUGAUCCUGGCUCAGAGUUAACGCUGGCGGCGUGCCUAACACAUGCAAGUCGAGCGAAGAGUACCAGAGUACCGGGCUCUUGGCGGCAGACGGGUGAGUAAUACUUAAACAAUCUGCCCUCGAAUGGGAGACAACCAAGCGAAAGUUUGGCUAAUACCCCAUACAAUCCUCUUGAGGCAUCUCAAGGGGAUGAAAGGCCCGCAAGGGUCGUUCGAGGAGGAGUUUGAGUCCUAUCAGCUAGUAGGCGGUGUAACAGACCACCAAGGCUAUGACGGGUAGCCGAUCUAAAAGGAUGACCGGCCACAAGGGCACUGAGACACGGGCCCUACUCCUACGGGAGGCAGCAGUGGGGAAUUUUGGACAAUGGACGAAAGUCUGAUCCAGCGACGCCGCGUGAAGGACGAAGGUUUUCGGAUCGUAAACUUCUUUUACAGGGGACGAAUACGCGCAAGCGUUUGACGGUACUCUGCGAAUAAGCCACGGCUAACUACGUGCCAGCAGCCGCGGUA
rnacentral:rRNA from 1 species